rnacentral:rRNA from 1 species
CCCGGCGACCGGCGCACGGGUGAGUAACACGUAUGGAACCUGCCCGCAGCAGGGGGAUAAGCGGAAGAAAUUCCGUCUAAUACCGCGUAACAACGUUGGGAGGCAUCUCCCGAUGUUUAAAGAUUUAUCGGCUGCGGAUGGCCAUGCGGCGCAUUAGCUAGUCGGCGGGGUAACGGCCCACCGAGGCGACGAUGCGUAGGGGUUCUGAGAGGAAGGUCCCCCACACUGGUACUGAGACACGGACCAGACUCCUACGGGAGGCAGCAG